rnacentral:tRNA from 1 species
GGAGAGGUGCGAGAGUGGCUGAAUCGGGCGGUCUCGAAAACCGUUGUCCUCUUUGGGGACCGUGGGUUCGAAUCCCACCCUCUCCG